UCUUCAUCUCUCAUUCUCUCACUUCUCCCUCUCUCUUUCUCUCUUUUUCCGGUGAGCCACCAUCGCCAGUGACACCCUCUAGCAUGGCAUAGCUCCAACGACCCUCCAGGCUGGCUCAAGCGGUGGCCAAAACCACCAAAAGUGGUGGCAAACGAGGGAGAAGAGAGAGAAACUCAUGAGUAGGGGCAGCAGUUUUUCAGCGCGAUUCCGGCUUCAUCCUACUUCCGAUCAAGGCCAUUUCAGGUGGUGUUGGAAAGCUUAUUUCGAGAGCUUUCUUUUGAUACAAAUUUUGCAGCAAAUGGAGGUCGAAUGAGUGAGAUAUGGAGGAGAGA
rnacentral:misc_RNA from 1 species